ACGACACCAUAGUGAAGAAGACAUCUGGUGAGCAUGAGACCCCCAGCAACCAUCCUCGUGUUGCAGGUGGACUAAGCAGGACCUAGAGCCCCAUCACGGUGCCUCCACCUCACUCACUGACACAUAAGAGACACAAUGACCAGAAGAUACUGGAACUCACCAACAAGAUCAUUCAGCUGCUGACUGGAGAGGAGGAGGAGUAUGUAGAGGAACACAGGGGUCUGUACAAGGACGUGAUGAUGGAGAAUCACCGGCCCCUCACAUCACUGGAUGGGCCCAGUAACAGAGAUACCCCAGAGAGAUGUCCCCGUCCUCUAUAUUCCCAGGACUGUACAGAGGAGAAUCACAGGAUCCCACAGGAGGAUC